UAAGAAAAAAUUUGGAUUUUUUCAUAUCCAUUUAUCCUUUGGGUAUAUUAAUUUGAAUGUUAACAGGUACAAAUCCAAAAAAAAAGAAAAAAAAAAGGAAAUAUCACUUAAAAAAUCUGUAAGUGUGUAAGAGGUGACUUCUCCUCCUGCUGCUUUUUUCUACAUGUCAAGUAUUCUCUCUCUCUGUGUCAUUUUGGUGUCUUUGCUAUACAGUCUGUAAUUUGUUUCCUAAGCCUUAACUGGCUUACCCAAUCUCAUAUCUAGAUUAUAUUUUGUAUGUCCACAUUGUUACUUCCGAGUAAUCAUGCUACUAAUUAAUUGAUCAUGUGAAAUGUGUUGAACUUGGAAUAUGUACGAUUUUUUCCUUUCCUUUUUUACUAAAUGUUUUUCAGACUUCCAAAAAAAAAUGUGCUGAGUAUUUUCUAAGCUUUCUUAAAUUAGUUCACAUUUUCGUUGUGGUGAAAACUUUGUUUAAAGUCCACAAUACUCGGCACAAAUUUUCUAUUUGAAUUUAAUUCUAUAAUUUUGAUGACUAUCUGCUUCCAUUAAAGUUGUUUCGUUCUGAUGGGGAUAACUAUGAACUUUCAUGAAAGUAUGGAAGAUAUAAAGUAAAUCUGUUGAUUUAUUAUGAUAUAAGCAAGAUUAGGGACCCCCACCAGUUUUUGGAAGUAUCAUCUAUUGGACUGGUUCUUAAAAUUGUGUUCUUGUAGAAUAUAUUGCCUUACUCUGUCUAGACAAGGUUUUUAGAUUUAUAUUCAUUUGUUCAACUCAUUAUUAAAUGUUAAUUGUUAUUAGAUUCUAUCACUGACUCAUUUUAUCCUUAUAUGUGCAUUGUAUUGUUAAUUAUUAUGCAACAGUUAGUAUAUAUGCUUUAUACAUGCUGUGAGCCUGUGACAAGUUCCAUAACUAUAAGUUUGAUCACUGGAUCAUUGGGCUAUUGCAAGUUGCAGCACUAUGUUACUAUUUGGUUUGUCUUUAUAAUUAGGCUGUUCUUCAAUUAGGUCCUGUGGAGCUUACUAUUGUAGGAGUUUCUAUUGCUGUUUUCAAUCAAGUAUCAAAGAUAGCAAUAUUCCUACUUGUCAGCGUUACAGCUUCUUUUGUGAUUGAGCGGAUGCUACUGAAAGUUUGAGUACUGAAGCAGAUGACAAUGGAGUACUCAAGAAUGGUUAUGCUAUCAAUCAGGAGAUGGAACUAGAAUAUCUGAUGCCACAAGUUGGUGCGAAUUUUACCUUCUCAGCCCUCUUGUUUUCGUUGAGGAAAACAAAUGACAGAAGGUAAAUUCCAUCAGCUUCAGCAGCGUUGGUCAUUGGCAGCAUGCUCACAAGCUUUGUUCUCAUUUUUGCUGCUAAACCAAUAUUGAAUUACGUGGGUGUAGAGACUCACAAUUCUGCCCCUGCAAAAUUCUCCUAUGCUAGCCCAACAAUACUUGACAUUGAGAUCUCUUGGUAUCAGUUAAACAAACGAUUUGAGGAGUUUUAAUCAAGCUCUAUUAACUACUGGGGAAGUGCUUAUGGACAGAUGCAACACAUCUAUGGAGACAGGUUAUUGAUAUAAAAUAUGGGGAAGAAUGUGGUGGCUGAACUUCAAGCUCACUCAGAGCACCUCAUUGGUGUAGCUUGUGGAGGAGUAUUUGCGCAGGAUAGGAUACUUUUCAGUAAAAUUUAUCUUUUAAGGUGGGAGACAACACUUGUUUAAGGUUCUUCCACGAUGUUUGGUGUAGAAAUCAUUCUCUAAAAGAGUUGUACCCUAGCUUGUAUGCUUGCUUGCUUGAUCAGAAUGCAUCAAUCCAUUCAAUCAUGGAGAUUCCGGUAGGUGGGAAGGCCAAAUAUGGAAUUUACAGAUGUUUUCAUGAUUGAGAGUUGGCAUUGGUUCUUUCUUAGACCUUCUAUUCUCCCAUAUCCCUAGGAGGGAGGGUGUGACAAGAUGUAAUGGAAAUUGAAAGAGAGUAGAGCAUUUACUGUUCACCCUUGUUAUGAGGCUCUCCAUGGUGCACCGAAUAACUCUUUCCCAUGGAAGUGUUUUGUGUGUUAAUGCUCCCAAGAGGGUCUCUUUUUAUGUUUGGACCGCAGCCUAUGAGAAAAUUCUUAGUUUUGAUAACCUUUAAAGGCUU